CCUACGGGAGGCAGCAGUGAGGAAUAUUGGUCAAUGGGCGAGAGCCUGAACCAGCCAAGUCGCGUGAGGAGGACUGCCCUAUGGGUUUUAAACCUCUUUUGUCGGGGAGCAAAAGCCGGACGUGUCCGGCUGUGAGAGUAUCCGAAGAAAAAGCAUCGGCUAACUCCGUGCCAGCAGCCGCGGUAAUACGGAGGAUGCGAGCGUUUUCCGGAUUUAUUGGGUUUAAAGGGUGCGCAGGCGGAUUUUUAAGUCAGCGGUAAAAUCGUGGGGCUCAACCCCGUCCAGCCGUUGAAACUGGGGAUCUAGAGUGUGCGAGAGGUAUGCGGAAUGCGUGGUGUAGCGGUGAAAUGCAUAGAUAUCACGCAGAACCCCGAUUGCGAAGGCAGCAUACCGGUGCACAACUGACGCUCAGGCACGAAAGCGUGGGUAUCGAACAGGAUUAGAUACCCGUGUAGUC
rnacentral:rRNA from 1 species